AUUCUAUUUGGUACCUACUGGCAUCUCCGUGGACACGAGCUCCUCUGAUCAUUUCUCACAUCCAAAUAUCCAACCAGGUCGUAAGAAUCGCGACCGGGCUUCCCACGUUCCCACCGCCUGCAACAAAAUCCACUGCCUCCAUUUCCCGACCCCGUUUCUGUUAUUCUCAUAUAUUCAUCACCUCUCUCUCUCUCUCUCUCUCUCUCUCUCUCUCUCAUACCUGGACACUUCUACACGCCUUUCCUUAGCGAGGCGAUUUGCUGCCGAUUGAUCUUGUGGUCAGCUCACCAAAUCUCCACAGCAGACGAGAAACAUGCCCAGGGGCUACAAAUUAAGUAAAUCAUUUGGGGGAAAGACCACCCGAUUCUGAGGAGGUGGUUGUGGUUUUCCCUAGUUGUGAAAACUAUUUGCAUUGAACUCAGACAAGUGUUACUGGUUGAACUAAAGUUUUGAAUUUCAACUGAGAUGCUCAAGAGAAGGAGCUAGGGGUAUUGACGAGGAAUCUAUUACAUGAAGUAGAUAAUGAAAAGCUUGACGAGAAUUCUCAGCUUGAGAGUACAAAAGGUCCACUGGGUGUCAGAGCUAGUACAAUUGCUUCGUGGGAGCUAUUUAUCAUUUUGAAAACAUCCUUAAUUCCUCGGUUUCAUAGCAUUCCGCGGAAUCAGCCAUUGCCCUAAGAAAUCAUUUGUUUAUUCCAUUUUGGAGAUCCCCACAUCAAUUCCCACCGAUUAUCAGGUCUACGGAAGGUCCUUUGAUUCAGAGCUGACUGGUAAUGGACUUAAUUACCUUUCUUGUAGACCAGUUGUCGAUCUACUUGUUCUACUUGUUUGGUGGUAGAUAGAGUGGUGAAUUCCUUUUCUGCAAAAUACCCUUCCUUAUUACGUAGUAGGCCAAUUCUUCCAUUUUAAUAGGUCAUGGAUCGUGAUGCCAAGUACAUCCAUGCAUCUCUGAAAGUCCUACAUCAUCUUACUUGAUCUCCUAAAAUACUUGUUACCAGUUUCUUACCUUCCAAAUUGAUGCACCAGUUAAAAUGUGGUUUUAUUUAGUUCAUUUACCUUUUUUGGCUGUAAAAAAGGGGUAAAAAUUUAUAACGCUUACCAUAAAUAUUUGGGUUAUUUACCUAGACACCCCUCCAAGUAUACCCUUUUUUCACGGUCACCCCCUCUACAAAUUUUGCCUACGGCCAGACCCCAUCAUUAAAAUUUACUUUUCCCCUAAACCACUUCUGUCAGCCUUCCGUCAAGAACCGUUAAUUUUUUCUGUUAGACUUUGUUAAAAGUGAUAAAAUAUUGUAAUAUUGCUCCCUACUUGAAUAUACUCCCUAAAAUAACCCCUCUCCUCCUAAAAAGUCCGGCUUUAUGUCCCAACCAUGGACGUGCUCGGAGUUACAGACCCGUCGACCAAACCUCCUGGAGCCCCGGCCUUGCUGCCUGAAGAAUAAUCAAAGCGGUGGCGAGUCAGCUCGUUGUCGAACUUGGCGCAUAGACCAGUGUAAAUCCACAAACAGCUCCAAUCAAAUUAUCAUCAUCUUGCUCCACAAACAGCUUGAAACCCUCAAAAUCAUUGUUAGCAGCAAACCUAAAUCCCUGGUUAGCAAACCCAAAUCCCUCCCCACCUAAACCAGUGUAAAUUCAAUCAAAAUCAUAUGUAAAUAAAAUCAAAAUCGCCAGAAUGGAAUAUAUAAAUACAGUCAAAAUCGGAGGUGCAAUAUUCUGUAAAACCUCUGACACCGACUUCAACUUCAGUGACGUCUGCCGUCCCCAAUGGAGGAGGGGGAUUCAGAUCUGGCGUGGCAAAUUGCGGAGGAGGCGGUCCAGGUGGUCUCGGAAUCAUCGGAGGUGUAGCGAUGGAUGUCAGUGGUGCUAGUUGUGGUGGUUGAUGAGUUGGAGCUCAUGCUCUGUAAAUCGUCGGCGAGGUCGUGAGCCGGAGCUCCAUUAGAGAGAGAGAGAGAGAGAGAUUGGGGGCAAAAAUUGCAGAGGGAGAAGUGUGGCUGUGGGUAUAUAUAUGUAAGGGCAAAAUGGUCUUUUCAUUCAUUCUGUCCAAUGGAGUUAGGUCCUCCAAAUGAAAACUUUAAUGAGGGGGUCUGGCCAUAGGCAAAAUUCGUAGAGGGGGUGACCAUGAAAAAUGGGUAUACUUGGAGGGGUGUCUAGGUAAAUAACCCUAAAUAUUUUGGCGAGGACCAGUUGUUAUGCACCAAUCAAAUGGUUCCCUAUUGCCUUCAAAGGAUGCAUGCUGAAGGCUACUAUCAUUAUGCACCUGGAGUAGUAGGUUAUUUAUUGUUAACAGCCAGUCCAAUGUUUAUUUCGUGAAAUACCCCAUUCUCCAUUGAAUGAAGAAGAAAGAAAUCUUUGUUCUGUUCACUAUUUUAGUGUUGUCAUCUGUAUGUGCGUUGCCUUGCGUAUUCUACCAAUUGUUUUGGGAGUGCCUCUCUGCAAAUUCUUGGACAAAUCCAUGAUAAGACAUUUUGUAUGUACGCAUAUUUUUUUUUGGUAAAUACGUACGUACGCAUAAAUUGUUUUUUUAUGAAUUGAGAAACCAGUAGUGGAUCAAAGAGUCUUGUAGCUUUCAAUAGCCUGUGUUACAAUUUUGCACCUGGACUUCGCAAGACUCCCUUUAGGUUGCAACUUCCGUUGAGCUUUUGUAUUUUCUGAAUUGAGGUGAUAAGAUCAAUGGCGAUAGCAUGAGAUCAGACAAGUCUAAUCUUAUUAUGUUGAUGUGCAGUGAUUGUGGAUAUCCAGAUCAAGAAACUUCAUGAGAACUUUUUAUUUUUUGAAAUCAAAACUUACAGGAACUUUAAAGAUCUUGUUUCUGAACCCAUGGCCAUUCAAAUAGCUGGCUCAAUUGUCUUGGUCUUUAUUUUCUUUUUUUGUUCACUUUUUUCCUUUCAAAGGACCUUCAUAGAAUACGGAUCGAAUUGGAGCAUGUUUGAAAUUUUGCUAUGCACACCUUUUCUUUUUGGUUUAGUUGUAAAC